rnacentral:rRNA from 1 species
GUASSGUGCGAGCGUUAUCCGGAGUUAUUGGGCGUAAAGAGUAUCGUAGGCGGAAAAGUAAGUCUUGCCUUAAAAGCCUUGGCUUAACCAAGGCAUCGGGCAAGAAACUGCUUAUCUACAGAAGAUUUUAGAGGGCUUUGGAACUCUGAGUGGAGCAGUGAAAUGCGUAGAGAUUCAGAGGAACACCUAUGGCGAAGGCAAAAGCCUGGAAAAUUCUUGACGCUGAUGAACGAAAGCUUGGGGAGCGAAGCAGAUUAGAGACCUGCGUAGUCCAAGCUGUAAACGAUGCCUGCUAGUCCCUUGCCUUUUGGUGAGGAACGUAAGCUAACGCGUUAAGCAGGCCGCCUGGGGAGUACGAACGCAAGUUUA